rnacentral:rRNA from 1 species
AGUGAACGCUGGCGGUAGGCCUAACACAUGCAAGUCGAACGGCAGCACAGUAAGAGCUUGCUCUUACGGGUGGCGAGUGGCGGACGGGUGAGGAAUACAUCGGAAUCUACUUUUUCGUGGGGGAUAACGUAGGGAAACUUACGCUAAUACCGCAUACGACCUACGGGUGAAAGCAGGGGAUCUUCGGACCUUGCGCGAUUGAAUGAGCCGAUGUCGGAUUAGCUAGUUGGCGGGGUAAAGGCCCACCAAGGCGACGAUCCGUAGCUGGUCUGAGAGGAUGAUCCGCCACACUGGAACGGAGACACGGUCCAGACUCCUACGGGAGGCAGCAGUGGGGAAUAUUGGACAAUGGGCGAAAGCCUGAUCCAGCAAUACCGCGUGGGUGAAGAAGGCCUUCGGGUUGUAAAGCCCUUUUGUUGGGAAAGAAAAGCAGCAGGUUAAUACCCCGCUGUUCUGACGGUACCCAAAGAAUAAGCACCGGCUAACUUCGUG